UUGAAUUUUAAUGAAGAGUUCGGUUGUAGCUGGCCCAUUCAUUUGGGCAUGUGCACACCUUCCUCUUUCAUCCCACACACACCUGUGAACCUGUGAGACAGAGAUGGGGAAUUUACUUGCUGCUUUUUGGAAUACAAAGGCAAUAGGUUAUUGGACCCCCCCUCUGUCUACUCAAUUAAUAUAAACUCAAUUUAUUUUAAAACGAAUGUAAUGGAUGUAACACAUCUCAUAC
rnacentral:misc_RNA from 1 species